rnacentral:tRNA from 1 species
CGCGAAUUGGUGUAAUUGGAUACAUAUCUGACUCAUGUUCAGAAGUUAUUGGUUCGAAUCCUUUAUUCGCGC